UACGGGAGGCAGCAGUGGGGAAUAUUGCACAAUGGGCGCAAGCCUGAUGCAGCCAUGCCGCGUGUAUGAAGAAGGCCUUCGGGUUGUAAAGUACUUUCAGUCGUGAGGAAGGUGUUAAGGUUAAUAACCUUAGCAAUUGACGUUAGCGACAGAAGAAGCACCGGCUAACUCCGUGCCAGCAGCCGCGGUAAUACGGAGGGUGCGAGCGUUAAUCGGAAUUACUGGGCGUAAAGGGCACGCAGGCGGUUAAUUAAGUUGGAUGUGAAAUCCCCGGGCUAACCUGGGAAUGGCAUUCAAGACUGGUUAGCUAGAGUCUUGUAGAGGGGGUAGAAUUCCAUGUGUAGCGGUGAAAUGCGUAGAGAUGUGGAGGAAUACCGGUGGGCGAAGGCGGCCCCUGGGACAAAGACUGACGCUCAUGUGCGAAAGCGUGGGGAGCAAACAGGGAUUAGAUACC
rnacentral:rRNA from 1 species